UCUACUUUAUCUUGAGACCAAGUCCACAAACAAUUACUUGCAUCCAAGCCCCGUGAUCAGGCUUGUUUUUUAGUGCCUCUAAGUUAGACAGCCCUCCUUAUGUCUCCAUGCUGUCACCACCCUGCAUUUGUGAGAAUUACCUAAUGAUGAAUCAGUACAAUUAAGUCAGGCCUAACUCACUCUCUAUCCUGAAUAGCUUUUUUUUUUUCCCCUGGAUUCCUGAUUGCUUUGCUUAUUUUCAGAUUUAGUGACUCAAUUCAACUUUUAAAGUCCCAGUUAAAGUUUAGUGCUGGGGCACAGAUAAAAUUCUGAAAAAAGCUACUCUACUAAUAACAGCCGCCAGAAUUCUACCGCCACGUGGGUGGUCUCUGCCAGCUUCCCGAGUUGUGCCCCCCGAGUGGAUGGACAAAAUAAUACAGAGACAUUAUAAAAGGAACAUGGAUGAAGAGCUGCUUGAAGGAGUAUGGGCAGCUAAGAUCUCCUCAUCUUCAUGAUUAUUAUCUUCUCACUUCUUUGGAGCAGGAAGAUCAUGAGAAACCUUCUCUACAGUUUCAUACUAUGCCUGAUGUGUACCACUCUCCUCCCCCAGUGGAAAGGAGGAUGGACAAGACAAUGAACAUGUAUUGUUAUCUCCCCAGAGAGCCAUAG
rnacentral:lncRNA from 1 species